AAUUGAGUGCCUGAAAAAAAGGAUUACCUUGAUAGGGUAAAUCAUGUGGUUUUUCCACCUCAAUUA
rnacentral:tRNA from 1 species